GGGGUGGGGCUGAAGGGAUUCAGACAUUCGGAUGGCCAGGGGAUUCGGUAAAUCACCUCCUGGGCAGAGGUGAGAGGAGGGAGCCUUUUCCGGAC